GGGUCUUUAGCUCAGUUGGUAGAGCACUUCGUUUACACCGAAGUGGUCAGCGGUUCGAGCCCGCUAGGACCCACCC
rnacentral:tRNA from 1 species